rnacentral:rRNA from 1 species
AUUCCAGCUCCAAUAGCGUAUAUUAAAGUUGUUGCAGUUAAAAAGCUCGUAGUUGGACUUCUGGGCCGUUUUGUUGGUCUGCCGCAAGGCUGCACUAGCGGGAUGGCCCAUCCUCUCGAAGGCUGGGGGUGCUCUUAACUGGGUGCUUUCAGAACUCGGGAUCUUUACUUUGAAAAAAUUAGAGUGUUCAAAGCAGGCUUACGCUUGAAUACAUUAGCAUGGAAUAAUGGAAUAGGACUUUGGUUCUAUUUUGUUGGUUUCUAGAACUGAAGUAAUGAUUAAUAGGGAUAGUUGGGGGCAUUAGUAUUUAAUUGUCAGAGGUGAAAUUCUUGGAUUUAUGAAAGACUAACUUCUGCGAAAGCAUUUGCCAAGGAUGUUUUCAUCG